AUGAUUGUGAGGCUUCCCCAGCCAUGUGGAAACAUAUUCGCAGAGCACCCACUAGGUGCCAGUAAAUGUAUGAGAAGUCCUGUGGAAUAAGACUGAAGUUGUCCUUGCCUUCAAGCAACUUGCAAUUGCCUAAGAACACAGUUUAAAACCACAAAACUAAGCCUUGGAAAUCACAUGCUGUCAUUUCUGCGAUCGGUCAUAACCAGUCCUGAUUCCAUGUUAGAGGAGACUACAUAAGGACACAGGUACCAGAAGAUGAAAAAUUUGGAGUCUAGUGAAAAGAAGUGACUUGCUCAAAAUCACACAGCACAUGAAGAACAGAGCCUCUAUGAUGAAUUUCUUGACAGAUCAAGAACUACUUUGGACUUUAUGUCUUAUUACUCAAGGAAGACAUUUCCUAAGCUACAGAGGCCAUAGAUAGUGAUUCCUCUGAUGGAUCUUGGCAAAGUAAGUGGAAAACUUUCUGGAAAGAAUUCACAACUCUAGAUGUCAUUAAGAACAUUUGGGAUUCCUGGGAGGGGAUCAAAAUAUCAUUAACGGGAAUUUGGAAGAAGUUGACUCCAACCCUCAUGGAUGAAAUCGAGGGAUUCAAGACUUCAGUGGAGGAAGUAACUGCAGACAUGGUGGAAAUAGUGAGAGAACUAGAAUUAGAAGUGAAGCCUGAAUAUGUAACUGAAUUGCUGCAAUCUUACGAUGAAAUUUUAAGAGAUAACGAGUUGUUUCUUAUGAAUGAGCAAAGAAAAUGGUUUUUUGAGAUGGAAUCUACUGCUGGUGAAGAUGCUCUAAACAUUGGUGAAAUGACUAUUUAGAAUAUUACAUAAACUUAGUUGAUAACAUGGUGGCAGGGAUUGAGAAGAUUGACUCCAAUUUAGGGAGAGAAUUACUACUGCAGGUAAAAUGCUGUCGGACAGCGUUGCAUGCUACAGAGAAAUCUUUCAUCAGAGGAAAAAUCAAUUGAUGGAGAAAACAUUAUUGUCAUCUUAUUUUAAGAAAUUACCACAGCCACCCCAACCUUCAGCAACCAUCUCUGAUGAGUCAGCAGCCAUCAACAUCAAGGCAAGACCCUCCACCAGCAAAAUGAUUACAACUUGCUAAAUGCUCAGAUUAUUAUUAGCAUAUUUUAGCAAUAAAAUAUUUUUAUUUUUAAGGU
rnacentral:lncRNA from 1 species